GCCUGCCCUGUGACAAAAGUUUAACGGCCGCGGUAUUUUGACCGUGCGAAGGUAGCGUAAUCACUUGUCUUUUAAAUGGAGACCUGUAUGAAUGGCAUAACGAGGGCUAGACUGUCUCCUUUCCCCCGUCAAUGAAAUUGAUCUCCCCGUGCAGAAGCGGGCAUACCAACAUAAGACGAGAAGACCCUAUGGAGCUUUAGACCCCGCAGCAGCCCACGUCAAAACCCUUAAACCACUAAGCCUAAACAAAGUGCCCCCUGCUGCAGGUCUUUGGUUGGGGCGACCGCGGAGAAACAACUAACCCCCGCGUGGUACGGGCCACACCCUAAAGCCAGAGCCACAGCUCUAACAAGCAGAAUAUCUGACCUUCAAGAUCCGGCAUUGCCGAUUAACGGACCAAGUUACCCUAGGGAUAACAGCGCAAUCCUCUUUCAGAGCUCAUAUCGACAAGAGGGUUUACGACCUCCAUGUUGGAUCAGGACCACCUAAUGGUG
rnacentral:rRNA from 1 species